AACGUAGGACACGAGCGUUAUCCGGAGUUACUGGGCGUAAAGGGCGUUUAGGCGGGUGACUAAGUUCGCUAUGAAAGCGCCGGGCUAAACCCGGCGAGGCUGGCGGAUACUGGUGAUCUGGAGUGAGGUAGAGGGAAGUAGAAUUCCGCGUGUAGUGGUGAAAUGCGUAGAUAUGCGGAGGAACACCGAUGGCGAAGGCAAUCCCCUGGACCUGUACUGACGCUCAUGCACGAAAGCGUGGGGAGCAAACAGG
rnacentral:rRNA from 1 species